rnacentral:rRNA from 1 species
AACUUUGGACAAUGGGUGAAACCCUGACCUAGCCAUCCCGCGUGUGUGAUUAAGGCCUUCUGGUUGUAAAGCACUUUUGUCAGGGAAGAAAUGACACGAGCUCACCACUUCUGUAGAUGACUGUACCUCUAGAAUAAGCACCGGCUAACUACGUGCCAGCAACCGCGGUAAUACGUAGGUUCCAAUCGUUAACCGGCAUUACUGUGCGUAAAGGGUACGCAGGAGGAUAGGAAAGAAAGAUGUGAGAGCCCAGGGCUCAACCUUGGAACUGCAUUUUUAACUGCCGAGGUAGAGUAUGUCAGAGGGGGGUAGAAUUCCACGUGUAGCAGUGAAAUGCGUAGAUAUGUGGAGGAAUACCGAUGGCGAAGGCAGCCCCCUGGGAUAAUACUGACGCUCAGACACGAAAGCGUGGGGAGCAAACA